CGGGGCUUAACCCCGUGGUGUGCAGUGGGUACGGGCAGACUAGAGUGCAGUAGGGGAGACUGGAAUUCCUGGUGUAGCGGUGAAAUGCGCAGAUAUCAGGAGGAACACCGAUGGCGAAGGCAGGUCUCUGGGCUGUUACUGACGCUGAGGAGCGAAAGCAUGGGGAGCGAACAGGAUUAGAUACCCUGGUAGUCCAUGCCGUAAACGUUGGGCACUAGGUGUGGGGGACAUUCCACGUUUUCCGCGCCGUAGCUAACGCAUUAAGUGCCCCGCCUGGGGAGUACGGCCGCAAGGCUAAAACUCAAAGGAAUUGACGGGGGCCCGCACAAGCGGCUGAGCAUGCGGAUUAAUUCGAUGCAACGCGAAGAACCUUACCAAGGCUUGACAUACACCAGACCGGCCCAGAGAUGGGUUUUCCUCUUUGAGGUUGGUGUACAGGUGGUGCAUGGCUGUCGUCAGCUCGUGUCGUGAGAUGUUGGGUUAAGUCCCGCAACGAGCGCAACCCUCGUUCUAUGUUGCCAGCACGUGAUGGUGGGGACUCAUAGGAGACUGCCGGGGUCAACUCGGAGGAAGGUGGGGAUGACGUCAAAUCAUCAUGCCCCUUAUGUCUUGGGCUUCACGCAUGCUACAAUGGCCGGUACAAUGGGUUGCGAUACCGUGAGGUGGAGCUAAUCCCAAAAAGCUGGUCUCAGUUCGGAUCGUGGUCUGCAACUCGACCACGUGAAGUCGGAGUCGCUAGUAAUCG
rnacentral:rRNA from 1 species